AGUCAAGUAAUUAAGUGCAUGUGGUGGAUGCCUUGGCAGUCAGAGGCGAUGAAAGACGUGAUAGCCUGCGAAAAGCUCCGGGGAGGCGGCAAAUAUCCUUUGAUCCGGAGAUGUCUGAAUGGGGGAACCCACCUACUUUAAGGUAGGUAUUGCAACAUGAAUACAUAGUGUUGCAAGGCGAACGAGGGGAAGUGAAACAUCUCAGUACCCUUAGGAAAAGAAAUCAAUUGAGAUUCCCUCAGUAGCGGCGAGCGAACGGGGAUCAGCCCAUUAAGUUAUGUGUGUUUUAGUGGAACGCUCUGGGAAGUGCGAACGUAGAGGGUGAUAUUCCCGUACACGAAAGGGCACACAUAAUGAUGACGAGUAGGGCGAGGCACGUGAAACCUUGUCUGAAUAUGGGGGGACCAUCCUCCAAGGCUAAAUACUCCUGACUGACCGAUAGUGAACCAGUACCGUGAGGGAAAGGCGAAAAGAACCCCUGUGAGGGGAGUGAAAUAGAUCCUGAAACCGCAUGCAUACAAGCAGUGGGAGCACCUUCGUGGUGUGACUGCGUACCUUUUGUAUAAUGGGUCAGCGACUUAUAUUCAGUAGCGAGGUUAACCGUAUAGGGGAGCCGUAGAGAAAUCGAGUCUUAAUAGGGCGUUUAGUUGCUGGGUAUAGACCCGAAACCAGGCGAUCUAUCCAUGAGCAGGUUGAAGGUUGGGUAACACUAACUGGAGGACCGAACCCACUGUCGUUGAAAAGCCAGGGGAUGACUUGUGGAUAGGGGUGAAAGGCUAAUCAAGCCUGGUGAUAGCUGGUUCUCCCCGAAAGCUAUUUAGGUAGCGCCUCGGACGAAUACCAUAGGGGGUAGAGCACUGUUUCGGCUAGGGGGUCAUCCCGACUUACCAAACCGAUGCAAACUCCGAAUACCUAUGAGUACUAUCCGGGAGACAGACUGCGGGUGCUAACGUCCGUAGUCAAGAGGAAAACAAUCCAGACCGCCAGCUAAGGCCCCAAAAUCAUAGUUAAGUGGGAAACGAUGUGGGAAGGCAUAGACAGCUAGGAGGUUGGCUUAGAAGCAGCCACCCUUUAAAGAAAGCGUAAUAGCUCACUAGUCGAGUCGGCCUGCGCGGAAGAUGUAACGGGGCUAAAACUAUGUGCCGAAGCUGCGGAUGUAUACUUUGUAUACGUGGUAGGGGAGCGUUCUGUAAGCCGAUGAAGGUGUGUUGAGAAGCAUGCUGGAGGUAUCAGAAGUGCGAAUGCUGACGUGAGUAACGACAAAACGGGUGAAAAACCCGUUCGCCGAAAGACCAAGGGUUCCAGUCCAACGUUAAUCGGGGCUGGGUGAGUCGACCCCUAAGGCGAGGCCGAAAGGCGUAGUCGAUGGGAAAAUGGUUAAUAUUCCAUUACUUCUGUGUAAUGCGAUGAGAGGACGGAGAAGGCUAAAUCAGCCUGGCGUUGGUUGUCCAGGUGAAAGGAUGUAGGCAUGUAUCUUAGGCAAAUCCGGGGUACUCUAUGCUGAGAUCUGAUAGCAAGCUGUACUUGUACAGCGAAGUGGUUGAUGCCAUGCUUCCAGGAAAAGUCUCUAAGCUUCAGUUACACAGGAAUCGUACCCGAAACCGACACAGGUGGUCAGGUCGAGUAGACCAAGGCGCUUGAGAGAACUCUGCUGAAGGAACUAGGCAAAAUGGUACCGUAACUUCGGGAGAAGGUACGCUGUUGUUGGUGAUGGAACUCGCUUCCUGAGCUGACGACAGCCGCAGAAACCAGGCCGCUGCAACUGUUUAUUAAAAACAUAGCACUCUGCAAACACGAAAGUGGACGUAUAGGGUGUGAUGCCUGCCCGGUGCUGGAAGGUUAAUUGAUGGGGUUAGCGUAAGCGAAGCUCUUGAUCGAAGCCCCAGUAAACGGCGGCCGUAACUAUAACGGUCCUAAGGUAGCGAAAUUCCUUGUCGGGUAAGUUCCGACCUGCACGAAUGGCAUAAUGAUGGCGGCGCUGUCUCCAGCAGAGGCUCAGUGAAAUCGAAAUCGCUGUGAAGAUGCAGUGUACCCGCGGCUAGACGGAAAGACCCCGUGAACCUUUACUGCAGCUUGACACUGAACUUUGAUCUUACUUGUGUAGGAUAGGUGGGAGGCUUUGAAGCUGGAACGCUAGUUCCAGUGGAGCCGUCCUUGAAAUACCACCCUGGUAAUGUUGAGGUUCUAACUCUGUCCCGUGAUCCGGGACGAGGACCGUGUCUGGUGGGUAGUUUGACUGGGGCGGUCUCCUCCUAAAGAGUAACGGAGGAGUACGAAGGUGCGCUCAGCGUGGUCGGAAAUCACGCGUAGAGUAUAAAGGCAAAAGCGCGCUUAACUGCGAGACCCACAAGUCGAGCAGGUACGAAAGUAGGUCUUAGUGAUCCGGUGGUUCUGUAUGGAAGGGCCAUCGCUCAACGGAUAAAAGGUACUCUGGGGAUAACAGGCUGAUACCGCCCAAGAGUUCAUAUCGACGGCGGUGUUUGGCACCUCGAUGUCGGCUCAUCUCAUCCUGGGGCUGAAGCAGGUCCCAAGGGUAUGGCUGUUCGCCAUUUAAAGAGGUACGCGAGCUGGGUUUAGAACGUCGUGAGACAGUUCGGUCCCUAUCUACCGUGGGCGCUGGAAAUUUGAGAGGAUCUGCUCCUAGUACGAGAGGACCAGAGUGGACGAACCUCUGGUGUACCGGUUGUGACGCCAGUCGCAUCGCCGGGUAGCUAUGUUCGGAAGGGAUAACCGCUGAAAGCAUCUAAGCGGGAAGCCUACCUCAAGAUAAGAUUUCCCUAGGACUUUAUGUCCUCUAAAGAGCCGUUCGAGACUAGGACGUUGAUAGGUUGGAUGUGGAAGCAUAGUGAUAUGUGAAGCUGACCAAUACUAAUUGCUCGUGAGGCUUGACUAU
rnacentral:rRNA from 1 species